GGAACUUGCCAGAGAUGGCUUGGUGCCUUCGGGAACCNUGAGACAGGUGCUGCAUGGCUGUCGUCAGCUCGUGUUGUGAAAUGUUGGGUUAAGUCCCGCAACGAGCGCAACCCUUAUCCUUUGUUGCCAGCGGUCCGGCCGGGAACUCAAAGGAGACUGCCAGUGAUAAACUGGAGGAAGGUGGGGAUGACGUCAAGUCAUCAUGGCCCUUACGAGUAGGGCUACACACGUGCUACAAUGGCGCAUACAAAGAGAAGCGAACUCGCGAGAGCAAGCGGACCUCAUAAAGUGCGUCGUAGUCCGGAUCGGAGUCUGCAACUCGACUCCGUGAAGUCGGAAUCGCUAGUAAUCGUGGAUCAGAAUGCCACGGUGAAUACGUUCCCGGGCCUUGUACACACCGCCCGUCACACCAUGGGAGUGGGUUGCAAAAGAAGUAGGUAGCUUAACCUUCGGGAGGGCGCUUACCACUUUGUGAUUCAUGACUGGGGUGAAGUCGUAAC
rnacentral:rRNA from 1 species